AACGAACGCUGGCGGCAAGCCUAACACAUGCAAGUCGAACGGACAAUUAUUUAUAGCUUUUGGCUAUAGGCAAUUGUUAGUGGCAGACGGGUGAGUAAUGCGUAGGAAUCUACCUAGUAGUACGGAAUAGCCAUUAGAAAUGAUGGGUAAUACUGUAUAAUCCCCGCGGGGGAAAGAUUUAUCGCUAUUAGAUGAGCCUACGUUAGAUUAGCUAGUUGGUAAGGUAAUGGCUUACCAAGGCUAUGAUCUAUAGCUGGUCUGAGAGGACGAUCAGCCACACUGGAACUGAGAUACGGUCCAGACUCCUACGGGAGGCAGCAGUGGGGAAUAUUGGACAAUGGGCGAAAGCCUGAUCCAGCUAUGCCGCGUGAGUGAAGAAGGCCUUCGGGUUGUAAAACUCUUCAAUAGGAAGAUAAUGACGUA
rnacentral:rRNA from 1 species